GACCGCAUCAGUUCCCAAGUGUGCAGUAGGGAGCAUAUGUCUUUGAAGAAGCCGGAAUGUUGUUUUGUCUUGUUUGUCUUUUUUUGCCUUUUCUAGGGCCCCUCCCGCGGCAUAUGGAGAUGAGGUUCCCAGGCUAGGGGUCUGAUCGGAGCUGUAGCCACCGGCCUACGCCAGAGCCACAGCAACGUGGGAUCCGAGCCUCGUCUGCCACCUACACCACAGCUCAGGGCAGCGCCGGAUACUUCACCCACUGAGCAAGGCCAGGGAUCGAACCCGCAACCUCAUGGUUCUUGGUCCGAUUCGUUAACCACUGUGCCCGAUGGGCCAAAGAAGCCUGAAUGUUUGUUUGUACGAGGACUUGGGAGAUCUUCCAUGAAAAGCUGGCGCCUUUUCCAAAGGGGUCUUCGCCGUGUUCUUUUGGGGAAACGGACUCAACGCUGCCUUCUGUCUGCGUGCCUGCGGUCCCCAACGGCAGGAAGACCUGUGGCCGCAGUGCAGAGGAUGCUGUGACACUCACCGUGUUUUCUCUUGUCUCAUCACAGGUGGACGGGGCGGACGAUGAAAUCUCUUGGAGCUUGGAGAGUGUGUGUGAGAGCGACCUCGCUGACAGCAACCUCGCAGAAAGUGAUCGAGACUCGGUGGCGGAGCGCACCGACUGCCGCCAGGAUGAGGAGGCUGCAGACUGUUGCUUUGGGAGCAAAGGAUCGUGCUUCAAAAGUCUGAGGACAAGUUUGUCCUCUGCGAGCUUGGCUAGAAUAAUUCCCCGGUGGCCACACAACAGGGUGCACCUUGCCACUGAGCCAGAUGAAGCAACGCACGACGACGAUGUUGUGGAGGCCGGUGGGAGUGAGAAGACUGAGGCAAAGCCCCGGGCUGGGGGACAUGAGGACGAGGCGGCCCCAGUACCUGAGGUGGAGGUGGAGGAGGAGGCGGGCCAGCCCCGUGAAAAUGGCCAGGAGGAGUCCCCAGCCAUCGUCUGGGCCGAGCCGGAAGACGAGCCUGGCCCCAAGGUGGACGGGGCGGACGAUGAAAUCUCUUGGAGCUUGGAGAGUGUGUGUGAGAGCGACCUCGCUGACAGCAACCUCGCAGAAAGUGAUCGAGACUCGGUGGCGGAGCGCACCGACUGCCGCCAGGAUGAGGAGGCUGCAGGUAGGGAAGAGCACGCAGCUGGGAUCCAGGGGGAGAGGGUUCCUGGGAGCAGCUGGGUUCCACCUGCUGCCGGGAGAGGGCGGAAGGGGGCUAGGACUUGGGUGGGUGGCCUACUGAGCGGAACUCCGCUGUGGUGUUUUCCCCUCUGAAGUUGCUAAGCCGAAGACGACUUGGGUCCCUGGUCUUUGUUGUGCUGU
rnacentral:lncRNA from 9 species